GCUUGCUCCUUUGAAGUUAGCGGCGGACGGGUGAGUAACGCGUGGGUAGCCUACCUAUAAGACUGGAAUAACUUCGGGAAACCGGAGCUAAUGCCGGAUAACAUUUGGAACCGCAUGGUUCUAAAGUAAAAGAUGGUUUUGCUAUCACUUAUAGAUGGACCCGCGCCGUAGUAGCUAGUUGGUAAGGUAACGGCUUACCAAGGCAACGAUACGUAGCCGACCUGAGAGGGUGAUCGGCCACACUGGAACUGAGACACGGUCCAGACUCCUACGGGAGGCAGCAGUAGGGAAUCUUCCGCAAUGGACGAAAGUCUGACGGAGCAACGCCGCGUGAGUGAUGAAGGUUUUCGGAUCGUAAAACUCUGUUAUUAGGGAAGAACAAAUGUGUAAGUAACUGUGCACAUCUUGACGGUACCUAAUCAGAAAGCCACGGCUAACUACGUGCCAGCAGCCGCGGUAAUACGUAGGUGGCAAGCGUUAUCCGGAAUUAUUGGGCGUAAAGCGCGCGUAGGCGGUUUCUUAAGUCUGAUGUGAAAGCCCACGGCUCAACCGUGGAGGGUCAUUGGAAACUGGGAAACUUGAGUACAGAAAAGGAAAGUGGAAUUCCAUGUGUAGCGGUGAAAUGCGCAGAGAUAUGGAGGAACACCAGUCGCGAAGGCGACUUUCUGGUCUGUAACUGACGCUGAUGUGCGAAAGCGUGGGGAUCAAACAGGAUUAGAUACCCUGGUAGUCCACGCCGUAAACGAUGAGUGCUAAGUGUUAGGGGGUUUCCGCCCCUUAGUGCUGCAGCUAACGCAUUAAGCACUCCGCCUGGGGAGUACGACCGCAAGGUUGAAACUCAAAGGAAUUGACGGGGACCCGCACAAACGGUGGAGCAUGUGGUUUAAUUCGAAGCAACGCGAAAAACCUUACCAAAUCUUGACAUCCUUUGAAAACUCUAAAGAUAGAGCCUUCCCCUUCGGGGGACAAAGUGACAGGUGGUGCAUGGUUGUCGUCAGC
rnacentral:rRNA from 1 species